rnacentral:rRNA from 1 species
AGGUCCUUCGGGAUGCUGACGAGCGGCGGACGGGUGAGUAAUGCAUAGGAAUCUGCCCGGUAGUGGGGGAUAACCUGGGGAAACCCAGGCUAAUACCGCAUACGUCCUACGGGAGAAAGGGGGCUUCGGCUCCCGCUAUUGGAUGAGCCUAUGUCGGAUUAGCUAGUUGGUGAGGUAAUGGCUCACCAAGGCAACGAUCCGUAGCUGGUCUGAGAGGAUGAUCAGCCACAUCGGGACUGAGACACGGCCCGAACUCCUACGGGAGGCAGCAGUGGGGAAUAUUGGACAAUGGGGGCAACCCUGAUCCAGCCAUGCCGCGUGUGUGAAGAAGGCCCUCGGGUUGUAAAGCACUUUCAGCGAGGAAGAACGCCUAGCGGUUAAUACCCGCUAGGAAAGACAUCACUCGCAGAAGAAGCACCGGCUAACUCCGUGCCAGCAGCCGCGGUAAUACGGAGGGUGCAAGCGUUAAUCGGAAUUACUGGGCGUAAAGCGCGCGUAGGUGGCUUGAUAAGCCGGUUGUGAAAGCCCCGGGCUCAACCUGGGAACGGCAUCCGGAACUGUCAGGCUAGAGUGCAGGAGAGGAAGGUAGAAUUCCCGGUGUAGCGGUGAAAUGCGUAGAGAUCGGGAGGAAUACCAGUGGCGAAGGCGGCCUUCUGGACUGACACUGACACUGAGGUGCGAAAGCGUGGGUAGCAAACAGGAUUAGAUACCCUGGUAGUCCACGCCGUAAACGAUGUCGACCAGCCGUUGGGUGCCUAGCGCACUUUGUGGCGAAGUUAACGCGAUAAGUCGACCGCCUGGGGAGUACGGCCGCA